AGCGUAGGUGGCCUAACAUGUCAACUGUGAAAACCCGGAGCUCAACUCCGGACCUGCAGUUGAAACUGGUAGGCUUGAGGGCGGUAGAGGAAGACGGAACUGCCAGUGUAGGGGUAAAAUCCUUAGAUAUUGGCAGGAACGCCGGUGACGAAGGUGGUUUUCUGGGCCGGUUCUGACACUGAUGCUCGAAAGCCAGGGGAGCGAACG
rnacentral:rRNA from 1 species